GCGUCGCCGAGGCGAGCCCGGGGCGCGCUUCAGUGUGAGGCGACCGGAAAAAUCCUCGCCGGUUCAAACUUGAACGUGCUGCUGUAAAAGCGGCCGCUGAGGCGAUGGAGCGUCGCUUUUUGCAGAGGCGGAGCCUCAGGGCAGAGCGCGAGGAAGAAGACGACGCAAGGGAUUUUAUUUAUUUUUUUUUUUUUUUACUUUCUGUCAAAAUGACGUCGUUUUUUGAUUAAUUUUGGUUCCCCUCCUAGAACGACGUCGUCUUGUUUGUAGAUCUGUUUAACAACCCCAAAACGUAGUCGGCAUACGAGGUCCAGAAAGGUAGAGAAGAAGGAAAAUAACCGCCGCUGUGAGAAAAAGAAAAGAAAAAACUAGAGAACGCGCUUGGUGCUUCGACGGCUUGUGAUGUUCCGUCCAGUGGCGCGUCGUUAUGACGUCGCCGUCGGCCGGGCCUGUACGGCAGGUAGGUUCGCUGGAGGGUUUGGGCUACGCGUA
rnacentral:lncRNA from 1 species